AAGUGUGUGUGUGUGUGUGUGUGUGUGUGCGGCGGACAAUGAAAUCUAAUCUAAAAUAAAGAAUCCAGAGAGGUGGCCGAAAGAGAGAUCAAUUUCGGGAGAGAGGUGUUUUGAUACUCUCGUGGAUCGCUUUAACAUUAGCAAACGGUGUGGAUUAAGAAACUACAAAAGGAAGAUUGAGCUACAGAAUCUAACUUCACAAUCUCCCGAAAAGUGAUUCAAACGCGCAAAACGAGAGGUAGCCUUGGACCAUGCUAUCCGGGAACUCUAUUUAGCUUUUCCCGUGUAACAUGUGCAAGAGUUUCGUGUCUGGAAGGUCAAAUAACUGGCUGGUGGCAACAUGAAACUCUGAACACUGGGAUGGAGCGACGCUUGACUACUGUGAGGGAGAACAAGACACGAGAGGGGCCGUGAAGAGAGUCAGACCCGUCCAAAGAGAGGUAAGGAUUCUUCUACUGUGAUUGGUUUUAUAAGACGCAAUCGCUUCCCACAUCAGUAUUUCUAAAGGUCAAAGAAGGGAUCAUUUGGGUUCUAAUGUGUGUUUCUUUAGGUUCACGGUACAGAGGAAGGGUCAGACUACCACCAGGGUCAUAAAACUACCCCUGGAAAUGCCCACAACUCCUACGAAAGCCUUGUCAAAUAUGUGUUUCUAGGUUCACGGUACAGAGGAAGGGUCACACUACCACCAGGGUCAUAAAACUACUCCUGGAAAUGCCCACAACUCCUACGAAAGCCUUGUCAAAUAUGUGUUUCUAGGUUCACGGUACAGAGGAAGGGUCAGACUACCACCAGGGUCAUAAAACUACCCCUGGAAAUGCCCACAACUCCUACGAAAGCCUUGUCAAAUAUGUGUUUCUAGGUUCACGGUACAGAGGAAGGGUCAGACUACCACCAGGGUCAUAAAACUACCCUGGAAAUGCCCACAACUCCUACGAAAGCCUUGUCAAAUAUGUGUUUCUAGGUUCACGGUACAGAGGAAGGGUCAGACUACCACCAGGGUCAUAAAACUACUCCUGGAAAUGCCCACAACUCCUACGAAAGCCUUGUCAAAUAUGUGUUUCUAGGUUCACGGUACAGAGGAAGGGUCAGACUACCACCAGGGUCAUAAAACUACUCCUGGAAAUGCCCACAACUCCUACGAAAGCCUUGUCAAAUAUGUGUUUCUAGGUUCACGGUACAGAGGAAGGGUCAGACUACCACCAGGGUCAUAAAACUACCCCUGGAAAUGCCCACAACUCCUACGAAAGCCUUGUCAAAUAUGUGUUCUUGGGCUGCGAAAUAUCUCAUAAUUCGACCUGUAGUGUUCAUCAGGGCGAGGAGAGUAGAGGUAUAUUUAACAGUGCAAAGGGGACAUCCAAAGUCUAUAUACACCGAGUCAAGCCACGCGCAGGUUUGUGGGAGGAGACACGGCCGAGGAGGCGUGGUUUAUGCGUGACGUUGCUUGGAGCCAAACUAGAGAAUGUAGAAACAGGGAUUUAGAGAAAACGAGGAAAGGCGGACUAAUUUAAAUCAAUCACUUCAACAUGCCCUCCCUCACACCCCACACCGCCGUUUGUAGGCAUUGGAAUUACAGUCACGCAAUAGCACAAUAAAAAGACAUAUUUUCUCGUCAGUGGCUUGCCUGAACGCGCUGUGAAAGAAGGCGAGAAUGCACAUCCAGAGUGCACACACGGCCCCAACUUUAGUCACCCCUGAACUGCCGGGUAUUUUCUGUUUUGGCUCCAAGUGACGUCAUCCCGCUGCUCCGCCCCAAAACCGCCUUCUGCGCGUGACAUGACUUGGUAUAUAUAGACUUUGGUAGUGUUCAUCAGGGCGAGGA